AACCCAUGGUAAGGGAACCUUCUCAAUAAGUCCUUAUACCUCUCCCAUGCAUCGUAAAGAGUUUCUAAAUCUAUUUGUAAAAAAGAAGAGAUAUCAUUCCUCAACUU
rfam:Gossypium arboreum cultivar AKA8401 contig_100740_1, whole genome shotgun sequence.